GAGUUUGAUCCUGGCUCAGGAUGAACGCUGGCUGUGUGCCUAAUACAUGCAUGUCGAACGAAGCACUUGUGCUUAGUGGCGAAUGGGUGAGUAACACGUACUUAAUCUGCCCUCAAGUUUGGGACAACAGUUGGAAACGACUGCUAAUACCGAAUAUGUACUACUACCGCAUGGUAGUUUUAUAAAAGGAGCGUUUGCUUCGCUAGAGGAUGAGAGUGCGUCGCAUUAGUUAGUUGGUAGGGUAAAGGCCUACCAAGACGAUGAUGCGUAGCGGGGUCGAGAGGCUGAACCGCCACACUGGGACUGAGAUACGGCCCAGACUCCUACGGGAGGCAGCAGUAGGGAAUUUUCCACAAUGGACGAAAGUCUGAUGGAGCGACACAGCGUGCAGGAUGAAGGUCUUCGGAUCGUAAACUGCUGUUAUAAGAGAAGAACAACACUGGUAGGAAAUGACCAGUGCCUGACGGUACCUUAUCAGAAAGCACCGGCAAACUAUGUGCCAGCAGCCGCGGUAAUACAUAGGGUGCAAGCGUUAUCCGGAAUUAUUGGGCGUAAAGCGUUCGUAGGCGGUUUUAUUAAGUCUGAAGUUAAAGCUCGGUGCCUCAACCACCGACCCGCUUUGGAUAACUGGGUAGACUAGAGUUAUUAUAGAGAGAUUAGCGGAACCUCCAUGGUGAAGCCGGUGGGAAUGCGUAAGAUUAUAUUUGGGAAGGAACCACCAAUGGCGAAAGGCAGCUUAAUUGGAUUAUACACCUGACCGCUGAGGAACGAAAGCGUGGGGGAGCAAACAGGAUUAGAUACCCUGGUAGUCCACGCCGUAACGCUGAUCGUUAGCCGGUAGAUAUUUACUGGCGCAGCUAACGCAUUAACGAUCCGCCUGAGUAGUAUGCUCGCAGAGUGAAACUCAAGGAAUUGACGG
rnacentral:rRNA from 1 species